GCCAGCAGCCGCGGUAAUACGUAGGUGGCAAGCGUUGUCCGGAUUUAUUGGGCGUAAAGCGAGCGCAGGCGGUUUUUUAGGUCUGAUGUGAAAGCCUUCGGCUUAACCGGAGAAGUGCAUCGGAAACCGGGAGACUUGAGUGCGGAAGAGGACAGUGGAACUCCAUGUGUAGCGGUGAAAUGCGUAGAUAUAUGGAAGAACACCAGUGGCGAAGGCGGCUGUCUGGACUGCAACUGACGCUGAGGCUCGAAAGCAUGGGUAGCGAACAGGAUUAGAUACCCUGGUAGUCCAUGCCGUAAACGAUGAGUGCUAAGUGUUGGAGGGUUUCCGCCCUUCAGUGCUGCAGCUAACGCAUUAAGCACUCCGCCUGGGGAGUACGACCGCAAGGUUGAAACUCAAAGGAAUUGACGGGGGCCCGCACAAGCGGUGGAGCAUGUGGUUUAAUUCGAUGCUACGCGAAGAACCUUACCAGGUCUUGACAUCUUCUGCUAACCUAAGAGAUUAGGCGUUCCCUUCGGGGACGGAAUGACAGGUGGUGCAUGGUUGUCGUCAGCUCGUGUCGUGAGAUGUUGGGUUAAGUCCCGCAACGAGCGCAACCCUUAUUGUCAGUUGCCAGCAUUCAGUUGGGCACUCUGGCGAGACUGCCGGUGACAAACCGGAGGAAGGUGGGGAUGACGUCAAAUCAUCAUGCCCCUUAUGACCUGGGCUACACACGUGCUACAAUGGACGGUACAACGAGUCGCGAAACCGCGAGGUCAAGCUAAUCUCUGAAAGCCGUUCUCAGUUCGGACUGCAGGCUGCAACUCGCCUGCAUGAAGUUGGAAUCGCUAGUAAUCGUGGAUCAGCAUGCCACGGUGAAUACGUUCCCGGGCCUUGUACACACCGCCCGUCACACCAUGAGAGUUUGUAACACCCAAAGCCGGUGAGGUAACCUUCGGGGGCCAGCCGUCUAAGGUGGGACAGAUGAUUAGGGUGAAGUCGUAACAAGGUAGCCGUAGGAGAACCUGCGGCUGGAUCACCUCCUUUCUAA
rnacentral:rRNA from 1 species